GCCAUGUAGUGUGUAUCCUUUUGUGCCAAGCUUCUUUCAUCCAGUGUAAUGUUUCUGAAAGCAUUUGUUCAUAUUGUGGUUCUUAGGCAUUAUGAUGAUAUGGGAACAAAAUAAGGUCUCCCACGAAAGCAGAGUCGACAAGAGUCACGCCUUGAAUUGAAGGAACAGGAUCUCCGGCAGGGUCCACAGGGCUCCACCCUGGCUGCAGGACAACAGCUCCAUCUUUUGGACAGCGAUGGGAUUUGCUUAGGGGCCCAGAGAGUAUAGACACUGCCCUCUGUCUCCUCACUUCCACUGCCCCUACCCACUGCCCAAGAAAUGAAAAAGAAAGAGAAGAAAAAGGGAGACAGGCAGCUCUCCAGCGUGGAGAUCAUCAGUCUUGCUUCUCCUUCCCUGCAAGACUAUAUGACUUGCAUUUGCCAUUGUGGAAAAUUUUACAACAUAGUGGAGAGAAAAUAAAUACUUCAACUUUUUUUUUUUUAAUUUAAAGGUGAGCAUAACACUAAGAGGUUAGUGUGAAGUGUGAUGCCAUUCCCAAAGACCUGAGGGCCUCGUGAAAAAAAAAAAAACUACGUACAUUUGAGUAAACCUCUGUCAUGAGAGCAGAAUAAUCACAGAAUAUUGAAAGGAACUAAAUAUGGUAUUUCAGCCAGUCAAGAAGUUACCUCCUUGAUCUCUAAAAUAGCCAUCUCCAUUUCAUUCUGAACACAAUUUUUAUCAUUAAAAAUUUCUGAAGCUGUAGUUCCAUUAUAUGUAUCUAUUUCUUUAGAAAGUAUAUCAAUGAACUAUGGCACACAUGUCUUGUGUACACUGUAAAGCCUACAAAAACAGAAAUGAGAAUGUGACAUAGAAAGAAAUACAAUUCUUCUUUCCCACCACGCCCCAGAGGAGAGUCUGGCACCUCCCGCAGAGUGUGCCUUUCACGUGGAAACCACAGGGCAAUACUGUGUGAGUCCAGCCAGCCCAUGGAGGAUGGAGUGGCAGGCCCUCUUGCAUCUUCACUAGAAAUGUGGGACAUAUGGAUGCACAUUUAGCAAGAAGAUGUUGCUGGAAGAAAGGCAGGCCACUCUAGUUUUGCCAGUGCCAGGUCUCUGAGAUUCGGGGGCUCACCAAAUACCAUGCCAGCCCUCCAUUUGCCAGCCUGGUACAGCUGGGCCAGGUCGCUGCGUCCCCCAUGGAAGGCGGGGGAAGCACUGGUGACCAAGCGGGAGCCUCAGGACCCAGAGUGCACAGAAGGGGCCUCUGCCCUGCAUUAGGCUGGAAGUGAAUGACAAAUAAACAUUCGUUGUACUAACCCACAGAGACAUGGGGAAUUAAUUGAUAAUUGGAGCAGGAUCACACCUAUUCUGACAAAUACACGCAGCAAGUCUAGCUGAUGAGAACUGGAGGCCAAGCUUUGGAAGAUCAGUUAUGUCCACUUGCAGCACGUAGAGGUGCUAGGGACACAAAGGAAGUGUCCCUAACCAGAAAGAACCAGGAAGACACAAACUAUCUGCUAGUACAGUGCACCACCAGUCUGGUUAUUCAUAGGUUGGUGUGUCUGCACGUAAAAACAGUAUCUUUCCUGAAUAUGAAUGUGUUGGUGUUGUUCUGUUCAAAGCAUUUCCAUGUUUAUUGUUUCAUUUGGCUAGCAAGUAUAUAUAUUCAUUCACAUGCAAAAAUCCAUGCAGACUUGGGAACAAAUUGUAUGCCACCUCUAAUGAAGACUUCAUUAAGGUUGUGACAAGUAUGUUGGUGACUCCGCUCUUUCACUGCCUCCAGCUCCCUUCAUGAGGACCACCUUGGGAACCCCUGAAAUCCUGCUGAUGCUGAAAGCUGGAAAGUGACCCUCAAUAUCAGUCACAUGGAAAUCCCUGUGCAGUUAUGUUGGAUCGAUCCUGCCAAAUAAACAUUCUGGACUUCUGAAUUGAAGGUUCCCCUCUUCUAGUUGUCAGCAACACCACCAUAAUAACAGCAGAUACAGUUACAUGCCAGGUACUACAUGAGUGUGCUCUCUAACUUGCAAGAACCCUCUGAGGUAGAUGGUAUUAUCUUUAUUUUAUAGAUGGGAAAACCAAGACUCAAAAACAAGAAGUAGUGACAUAAAAGGUGAGGUUCACUCAUAUCCAGGGUGAUGGGAUAUGAGGGUGGCGGGAAUGUAGUUGGAAGUCCCAUUACAACCCCUGAGCCCUAGGUGGCCACACCACCCCCUUUCUCCUCUGUCCCCAGCAAGAGCCUUUCUCUACGUAAGUUUCUGGAGAGAUGGCCACCUCUUCUCGGCAUUCAGUGUCAGGAUGCCAGAGCCCCCACCAUGC
rnacentral:lncRNA from 1 species